rnacentral:rRNA from 1 species
CAGAGUUUGAUCCUGGCUCAGAUUGAACGCUGGCGGCAUGCUUUACACAUGCAAGUCGAACGGUAACAGGUCUUCGGAUGCUGACGAGUGGCGAACGGGUGAGUAAUACAUCGGAACGUGCCUAGUAGUGGGGGAUAACUACUCGAAAGAGUAGCUAAUACCGCAUGAGAUCUACGGAUGAAAGCAGGGGACCUUCGGGCCUUGUGCUACUAGAGCGGCUGAUGGCAGAUUAGGUAGUUGGUGGGGUAAAGGCUUACCAAGCCUGCGAUCUGUAGCUGGUCUGAGAGGACGACCAGCCACACUGGGACUGAGACACGGCCCAGACUCCUACGGGAGGCAGCAGUGGGGAAUUUUGGACAAUGGGCGAAAGCCUGAUCCAGCAAUGCCGCGUGCAGGAUGAAGGCCCUCGGGUUGUAAACUGCUUUUGUACGGAACGAAAAGCCUGGGGCUAAUAUCCCCGGGUCAUGACGGUACCGUAAGAAUAAGCACCGGCUAACUACGUGCCAGCAGCCGCGGUAAUACGUAGGGUGCAAGCGUUAAUCGGAAUUACUGGGCGUAAAGCGUGCGCAGGCGGUUUUGUAAGACAGUGGUGAAAUCCCCGGGCUCAACCUGGGAACUGCCAUUGUGACUGCAAAGCUAGAGUGCGGCAGAGGGGGAUGGAAUUCCGCGUGUAGCAGUGAAAUGCGUAGAUAUGCGGAGGAACACCGAUGGCGAAGGCAAUCCCCUGGGCCUGCACUGACGCUCAUGCACGAAAGCGUGGGGAGCAAACAGGAUUAGAUACCCUGGUAGUCCACGCCCUAAACGAUGUCAACUGGUUGUUGGGUCUUAACUGACUCAGUAACGAAGCUAACGCGUGAAGUUGACCGCCUGGGGAGUACGGCCGCAAGGUUGAAACUCAAAGGGAAUUGACGGGGACCCGCACAAGCGGUGGAUGAUGUGGUUUAAUUCGAUGCAACGCGAAAAACCUUACCCACCUUUGACAUG